rnacentral:tRNA from 1 species
UGCGGCUGGAUCCCCUCCUUUCUAAGGAUAGCGCUGUACUGCGCCUGGCCCUGCCAGGAAGUGCGUCAGCCGUUCCAAAGAACAUUAGCCGCCGUCCUCAUGUCCCUUCAUCCCUGGAAAUUCGAUACUCAUCGCGAGUAUCGGAAGCCUGAGCUGGCUCACGCCGCUUGGCGGUCGUUACGGCCGGCCUGGCAUGGCGAUGGGCCGGUAGCUCAGGUGGUUAGAGCGCACGCCUGAUAAGCGUGAGGUCGUAGGUUCAACUCCUACUCGGCCCACCAUCGUCAAGAGCGGCGCUGGCUGCACUGUCUAGCGACGCAACGGGGCCUUAGCUCAGUUGGGAGAGCGCUAGCUUUGCAAGCUUGAGGUCGUCGGUUCGAUCCCGACAGGCUCCACCAUAUUCCAGGGAUCUCGAAAGGGAAAACGGAUCCGCAUGCUUCGGCAUGUGGUGACGGUCAUCCGACCUGUCUUUGACAUUGUGAAUGGGUUCUAGAAAUCGAUGCCGCGAGGCGCGUUUCUGGCGAGU